rnacentral:sRNA from 1 species
GCCAGCCAGGAUUUCCUGAGAUUUGAGGAAAUGAGGAAAUUAGAUUGAUCUGCGAACUCGGUUUACCUUCAAUAGAGUACGAGAGGUGGGGCAUAUCCGGGAUCCCGUACGUUCACUACAUUUUAAAGAGCGCAUAUAUACUCUGUACACUACGUAGGUUUCUAGCAAUAUUCCGUACUCAAGAAGACUUCUUUUAUAGGAUCCGCCUUUCUUAACUGAUUUAAGCUGGUGCCAUGUCACGUACAUGUCUACUAGUAGUUAAGGUCCUACGAUGAGGGAGAAGUAGAAUAGUAGCGACCCUAUCACGUCGCAUCAUUCAUCGUCAGAGUUGCAUGGUACAUACACCCACAGUGCCUUCUCUUGACGCAAAUUAGGGAGUUUUUGUUAUCUGUACAGAGUAUGUCGCGUAAAGAAGAGGACGACAGGGGAGGGCCUUCAUGAGAAACUUAUUUUCGUGUUGAUAAUAUCAAAAAACACCAUGCUCACGGCUGUGGAGUGAACAAAACUCAUGGGGAAUGAUAUACAAUUGCAGAAGAUAUCUA